AGCUAGGUGGCUGCCUCCAUGUCCUCCCUCGAACCAUCUGAUAGUUUUAAGCGGUGACAGGAGCAGAAAAGACCCCUGUAGCGGCGCUUCAUUAAUGUGCCACUUCUUAGCUAUCAUAUGACAAUCGCCUUGGGAGGAGGAGGAAGAGGAGGGGGAGCGGGGGCUGCAGAGGGAGGGGACUGAGCGAGACGGGAGAGCCUGGCCAGUUCUGGUUUCUUUCACACCUAUUUACAUGGACACCUUGGCCAAUAGGAAUCACUUCCAGCUCAAGACUGACCGAGGGGGAAGAGCAUCGGCCACCGGCGGGGAGCGGGACGCGCCAGCCUGGGUGCGCGGUGUGAAGGUAUGAGGAGGCGGCCUCCGCGGAGCGGGGAUUCAGGCGACCACUCACGUUCACAGACGGAGCUGCCGCGCAGACGAUGUUUGACAUGGAAAUUGCUUGGCUGGGAGAGAAGAGGGCGGGAUGUGCCUCGGGUCACCCUGCCUGGUGCGGGCAGCAGGCUCCCUUCGGUUCGGAGACGUCUCGGGAGGUUCAAUGAAUUAUCAUCAUCAUCAUCAUCACCGUCGUCGUCAUCAUCAUCAAAUUGCUAUGAAAUAGUACUUAGGCACUCUCCAAGUAGAAGAUGGUCCGGCAUUCACAUCCAAAUCCACCUGCCCCCCAGGGUGUGAAUUCAUCUUAACCAGGGUACUUAGAAGCAAAUGCAGAAGAAAAAAAAAAUAAAGCUCAAAAGGAAUGAAAUAAGGAAGCCA
rnacentral:lncRNA from 1 species